rnacentral:lncRNA from 1 species
CCUAUAGUCAGUAAUGUUCUGCUAAUCAUUUCUUUUCUUUUCUUUUUUUUUUUUAGAUUAUUUAUUUAUUUAUUUGACAGAUCACAAGUAGGCAGAGAGGCAGGCAGAGAGAGAGGAGGAAGCAGGCUCCCCACUGAGCAGAGAGCCUGACGCGGGACUCGAUCCUAGGACCACAGGACCAUGACUCGAGCCAAAGGCAGAGGCUCCAACCCACUGAGCCACCCAGGAAUGGCCAGUGACAUCUGCCAAGCUCCCAGAAAAAGAAAGAGCCAUAGCCCUGCUAACAUGCCUUCUGUCCUAUGGAUACGGAACGAAUGCCCAGUGUUUCAAAGACUGCAUAUUCUUCACCCACCGGAACACAAUGGAAAAGCAGAUGGAGGUCGAAAUUGAAUUGCUGCUGACUGUUGUCCCUUGUUAUGGCCUGUGGAGAUAUGACAAUUGAGGAAGAACUUAGAGGAAUGCCAAGUAGCAGAGCAUGAAGCAGUGGGUGUGACCCACUGCCUUGGACAUUUUAUGGCUGAUAGCAUUUGGCAAGAAAAAACCUGCAGCCUCUAUAGUAGUCUUGCAAAUAGAUCUCAACAUUAACCAUACCCUCACUUAUAUUUGAUUUGCCCUGUAACAUAUGCAUUUGCCAAAAUCCACUCUUCUAAUUGUCAGCCAACUCCCUAGUUCCCUCACAAAAUACCUAAAAUAACUGAAUAAAUCAUGCUGGAA